AUACAUCUGUAUGAACGCUCAGCGUCUAUCACGAUGAACUAUUAUGUAAGUAGGGGUUUUUUUCUUGGUAAGAACAUUGCAGCUGCUUGUUAAUAAUUUGUGGCAGAAUUUACAGACAAGUUUACAAGUCAUCCUAUGUGCAAUCGGCUGUGUGCUUAUUACAUCGUCUGCCUUCACUCCUGCUGACUAUAAUGGGAAAUUAACAGAGCAUCCUUUCUCAAGGUUUAAAAACAUCCAGAAGAUUAAAAAUAGCCUGAGGCUUAAAAACUUCUUCACCUGGAUCGCUUUCAGGGAAGGUACCAGGAACAUCACUCCGUGUUCUCAAACUCUUGCUGAAAUGAAUGGGUAUUGACAACUUUCAGUCCUGUAGAGGAGAAGCUUAAUUCCAGGGGUCACAGGGCUACAGGAUUCUACCAACCAAAGGAAAAGAUAUACAAAUACAAAGAACACAAGACUUGUCAGAUGCUGACUACAUUAAAAAAUGUACUAAAGAAAUAGGGAGGUCUGCUCCUGGAGAUGUAAAUAAUAUUUGAAAUGGUGAUCUUCCUGAGAAACAAUUUAUGUUCUCAUUGGAACAGUGGACCAAAACAUAUAAAACUCCUUAGGUGGUUUCAAGAAUCUACUACAAGACCUCUACUUUGGCAUUCAACUGCACCUGCACAGAGGGUGCUCUUCCAUCUUCCACAGAAAAACUCUGAUCUCUCCCAGUUGCAGAAGAAACUAAGAUAAAGAAGCCUGUGUCUAUUGUCUGAGAGAGUAGAGAGAUGGCCUGGCAUGUGUCUUUGUCAAGAGCCAACCCAGAAACUACAUGAAACAUGAGUAGAACAAAGGGUAGUGGAGACAUGUGGAUAUGGUGUCAAUAGAAAACAAAGUUGGGACGCGGCAGCUGCAUCCUGCAGUAGUAUUACGAAAGGAAGUAUUAAAACUUUCUGUUUAGUAAUUCCUGCUGCUACAUCUCUGGUACUUAGCAGUGAUGAUGUUUCUGUAUGUAAUAUGUUUUCUGUACUAGGCAUAUGUAAUUUAAUCAUAUGAUUAGCUCAGUUGGUUAGAAUAUGGUGCUAAUAACAC